GAGUGCAGCAGCCUGUCUAUUGGGACAGCUUGGUCAGCAAGGGGUGACCUUUGACCUCCAGCCCAUGGAAUGGAUGGCUGCAGCCACACAUGCCUUGUCUGCCCCUGCAGAGGUUCGGUUGACUCCACCAGGUAGUUGUGGAUUCUAUGAUGGCCUCCUUAUCCUUCUGUUGCAGCUCCUCACUGAGGUACAGAUGGAUCUUGGGAUGGAUGGGAAGUAAAGAGAGAGGAACUGGGCAUUUUGGGGAGCCUCUGGACCAGAGGAAUGAAGAAGCAACCCACAGCCUUCCCUCUCAAGCUACUGUGCCUGUGAUAGCCUUGGAACUUCCCCGCCUGCCCUCAGUACUGACCCUUUGAAGGAAACCAUUCGCUGCGUCCCCUGGGAUCCAGUGGGAGAUAAAAUGAAUUCCCUGGGUUUCAGUAGACAUACACAUGAGUUGUGAGGUCAGAGGGUUAAGGUUUGAUAAGAAAAUGAAAUAAGACGACAGGGAAAUACUAGGUGGGAAAGCGGAAGGAAUUAUUUCUGGGACUUCCUUUCCUUGUAAGU
rnacentral:sRNA from 1 species